CGCGGGAGGGGGCCUGAGGGGCGAUCUCGCGCGUCGCGGACAGCGAGCGGCCACACGCACGUGAAUCCCCAGGUCAGACCUGGGAGGGGCACACUGUCGCCUCUGCUCCCUCCUGGGCCAGGGCGCCACCAGGAAGGGUGCCCAGCCAGGCCCCCCGAGGGGACAGCAGCCACCCUCUCAAAGCCGGAAGCGGUGCUCGGGUGCUCAGGGACCCAGGCGGCCAGGAGGCCCCUAACGGCCGCUGGGCCCGCACAGGCCCCGGGGAGCCGCGCUGGAGGACGGCAGGGUUGGAGAUAAUAGUGCCUAUGUGUGUGAAUGAUCAGCUAGAGAAGAUCCUGUAGAGAAUCAAGUAGAAAGAAUCCAUGCAGGAGAGGGAAAGAAAUGCAGGAGCGGAAACUGGACUCCCAUUUACCCCGAAAUGGGGGCCCGGAGCUGCCUUCAUCGAAGACAUUGGAUCUCUGCACAAUCUGAAAACGUAACUAUGAACCUGUUAGCAGGGAGGGGGCUGGGCGGGCUUUGGGGUCAGCAACCACAGUGCCCCAUCCUUCACCAGACUGAUUUCAUGGACGCUGUGUUUCUCCUACUCAUUUUCAAGCUGUUUUCAGAUGAGACUUGAUUGGUACCUAAAGCCCUCUCUAGCUAUAAACCAAACCCUAGUCUUGGGUCUGGGGAAACAGCACAUUUGGGACCUGUAUAUGAUGGAGUGUAAAAGCAUAAGGAGGGGCCCCUGCGUGGCUCAGUCAGUUAAGUGUCUGACUCUUGAUUUUGGGUCAGGU